CCUACGGGGGGCAGCAGUGGGGAAUAUUGCACAAUGGGGGAAACCCUGAUGCAGCGACGCCGCGUGAGUGAAGAAGUACUUCGGUAUGUAAAGCUCUAUCAGCAGGGAAGAAAAUGACGGUACCUGAGUAAGAAGCCCCGGCUAACUACGUGCCAGCAGCCGAGGUAAUACGUAGGGGGCAAGCGUUAACCGGAUUUACUGGGGGGAAAGGGAGCGUAGACGGGAGUGCAAGGCUGGAGUGAAAGGCGGGGGCUCAACCCCCGGAUUGCUCUGGAAACUGUACGGCUGGAGUGCAGGAGAGGUAAGUGGAAUUCCUAGUGUAGCGGUGAAAUGCGUAGAUAUUAGGAGGAACACCAGUGGCGAAGGCGGCUUACUGGACUGUAACUGACGUUGAGGCACGAAAGCGUGGGGAGCAAACAGGAUUAGAUACCCCUGUAGUC
rnacentral:rRNA from 1 species